CAGCAGCCGCGGGAAAACGGAGGGUGCAAGCGUUAAUCGGAAUUACUGGGCGUAAAGCGCACGCAGGCGGUCUGACAAGUCAGAUGUGAAAUCCCCGGGCUUAACCUGGGAACUGCAUUUGAAACUGUCAAGCUGGAGUCUUGUAGAGGGGGGUAGAAUUCCAGGUGUAGCGGUGAAAUGCGUAGAGAUCUGGAGGAAUACCGGUGGCGAAGGCGGCCCCCUGGACAAAGACUGACGCUCAGGUGCGAAAGCGUGGGGAGCAAACAGGAUUAGAUACCCGCGUAGUCCCUGUCUCUUAUAC
rnacentral:rRNA from 1 species